UACGUAGGGGGCAAGCGUUGUCCGGAUUUACUGGGCGUAAAGAGCGUGUAGGCGGCCACGCAGGUCCGUUGUGAAAACUGGAGGCUCAACUUCCAGCCGUCGACGGAAACCGUGUGGCUAGAGUCCGGAAGAGGAGAGUGGAAUUCCUGGUGUAGCGGUGAAAUGCGCAGAUAUCAGGAAGAACACCAAUGGCGAAGGCAGCUCGCUGGGACGGUACUGACGCUGAGACGCGAAAGCGUGGGGAGCGAACAGG
rnacentral:rRNA from 1 species